GAUGAACGCUGGCGGCGUGCCUAAUACAUGCAAGUCGAGCGAACGGACGAGAAGCUUGCUUCUCUGAUGUUAGCGGCGGACGGGUGAGUAACACGUGGAUAACCUACCUAUAAGACUGGGAUAACUUCGGGAAACCGGAGCUAAUACCGGAUAAUAUUUUGAACCGCAUGGUUCAAAAGUGAAAGACGGUCUUGCUGUCACUUAUAGAUGGAUCCGCGCUGCAUUAGCUAGUUGGUAAGUUAACGGCUUACCAAGGCAACGAUGCAUAGCCGACCUGAGAGGGUGAUCGGCCACACGGGAACUGAGACACGGUCCAGACUCCUACGGGAGGCAGCAGUAGGGAAUCUUCCGCAAUGGGCGAAAGCCUGACGGAGCAACGCCGCGUGAGUGAUGAAGGUCUUCGGAUCGUAAAACUCUGUUAUUAGGGAAGAACAUAUGUGUAAGUAACUGUGCACAUCUUGACGGUACCUAAUCAGAAAGCCACGGCUAACUACGUG
rnacentral:rRNA from 1 species